GAGCGGUAACAUUUCUAGCUUGCUAGAAGAUGACGAGCGGCGGACGGGUGAGUAACGCGUAGGAAUCUGCCUAGUAGUGGGGGACAACAUGUGGAAACGCAUGCUAAUACCGCAUACGCCCUACGGGGGAAAGGAGGGGAUCUUCGGACCUUUCGCUAUUAGAUGAGCCUGCGUGAGAUUAGCUAGUUGGUGGGGUAAAGGCCUACCAAGGCGACGAUCUCUAGCUGGUCUGAGAGGAUGAUCAGCCACACUGGGACUGAGACACGGCCCAGACUCCUACGGGAGGCAGCAGUGGGGAAUAUUGGACAAUGGGCGCAAGCCUGAUCCAGCCAUGCCGCGUGUGUGAAGAAGGCCUUAGGGUUGUAAAGCACUUUCAGGAGUGAGGAAGGGCGUGCAGUUAAUACCUGUAUGUCUUGACGUUAACUCCAGAAGAAGCACCGGCUAACUCUGUGCCAGCAGCCGCGGUAAUACAGAGGGUGCGAGCGUUAAUCGGAAUUACUGGGCGUAAAGCGCGCGUAGGCGGUUUGUUAAGUCGGAUGUGAAAUCCCAGGGCUCAACCUUGGAAUGGCACCCGAUACUGGCAGGCUA
rnacentral:rRNA from 1 species